GAUGAACGCUAGCUACAGUGCUUAACACAUGCAAGUCGAGGGGCAGCAUGAAAGGAACUUCGGUUCUUUUUGAUGGCGACCGGCGCACGGGUGCGUAACGCGUAUCGAACCUGCCUCAUACUCGGGGAUAGCCUUGCGAAAGUAAGAUUAAUACCCGGCGGUCUCGGAUGGCCGCAUGACUAUCCGAGUGAAGAUUUAUCGGUAUGAGAUGGCGAUGCGUCUCAUUAGCUAGUUGGUGAGGUAAUGGCUCACCAAGGCAUCGAUGGGUAGGGGUUCUGAGAGGAAGGUCCCCCACAUUGGAACUGAGACACGGUCCAAACUCCUACGGGAGGCAGCAGUGAGGAAUAUUGGUCAAUGGACGAAAGUCUGAACCAGCCAAGUAGCGUGCAGGAUGACGGCCCUCUGGGUUGUAAACUGCUUUUAGUUGGGAAUAAAAAGAGGGACGUGUCCCUUAUUGUAUGUACCAUCAGAAAAAGGACCGGCUAAUUCCGUGCCAGCAGCCGCGGUAAUACGGAAGGUCCAGGCGUUAUCCGGAUUUAUUGGGUUUAAAGGGAGCGCAGGCGGCGGCGUAAGUCAGUUGUGAAAUCGUGCGGCUUAACCGUGCAAUCGCAGUUGAUACUGCGUCGCUUGAGUGCACACAGGGAUGUUGGAAUUCAUGGUGUAGCGGUGAAAUGCUUAGAUAUCAUGAAGAACUCCGAUCGCGAAGGCAUAUGUCCGGAGUGCAACUGACGCUGAGGCUCGAAAGUGUGGGUAUCANACAGG
rnacentral:rRNA from 1 species